rnacentral:rRNA from 1 species
AACGAACGCUGGCGGCAGGCUUAACACAUGCAAGUCGAGCGCCCCGCAAGGGGAGCGGCAGACGGGUGAGUAACGCGUGGGAACGUACCCUUUGCUACGGAAUAGCUCCGGGAAACUGGAAUUAAUACCGUAUGUGCCCUACGGGGGAAAGAUUUAUCGGCAAAGGAUCGGCCCGCGUUGGAUUAGCUAGUUGGUGGGGUAACGGCCUUCUAAGGCGACGAUCCAUAGCUGGUCUGAGAGGAUGAUCAGCCACAUUGGGACUGAGACACGGCCCAAACUCCUACGGGAGGCAGCAGUGGGGAAUAUUGGACAAUGGGCGCAAGCCUGAUCCAGCCAUGCCGCGUGAGUGAUGAAGGCCUUAGGGUUGUAAAGCUCUUUCACCGGAGAAGAUAAUGACGGUAUCCGGAGAAGGAGCCCCGGCUAACUUCGUGCCAGCCGCCGCCGUAAGAC